CAGUCGCAGAGGAUGUCGGGAAACAGAAGUGACCAUUCAGGUGGUGUUCAAAGAGGCAGCACCGCCACCUGCUGGACGCAGCGUGCAGAGUAGCUUGUCUCCUCUCACAGAUCCUCCUCAGCUGGUUGGAACAUCUGGAGAUGUACCAGCUCCUCCUGUAGUCGUCUCCUGGGGUGAUUCGACCACACAGCUCCCUGCUGUCUCUGUUGUCAGGCUCAUGUAGCCGAAACCUGCAGAAGAAAAAAAAAAAAUUAAUCUGUUACCAUGGCAACCACUACUCCUCCAUAUGAAAAUACAUCGGCUGUCUUUCAGUCCCCUCCCAUAAUGGCAAAUGUAAUCAAAGUCGCUCCAAAGAGAAAACUGAAGAUACUGUAACUAUAGUAAAAUUAAAUAGUUCUAGCUUCCUUUUUUAUUUUCACUUAAUAAAUACUUGAAUUAG